GAUGAACGCUGGCGGCGUGCUUAACACAUGCAAGUCGAACGGAGAUUAUAUGUGAGCGUGAAUAGUUUACUAUGAGCAAUCUUUUAUAAUCUUAGUGGCGGACGGGUGAGUAACGCGUGGAUAACCUGCCUUGUACCGGGGGAUAACACUUAGAAAUAGGUGCUAAUACCGCAUAAGCGCACAGGACCGCAUGGUCUGGUGUGAAAAACUCCGGUGGUACAAGAUGGAUCCGCGUCUGAUUAGCUAGUUGGAGGGGUAACGGCCCACCAAGGCAACGAUCAGUAGCCGGCUUGAGAGAGUGAACGGCCACAUUGGGACUGAGACACGGCCCAAACUCCUACGGGAGGCAGCAGUGGGGAAUAUUGCACAAUGGGCGAAAGCCUGAUGCAGCGACGCCGCGUGAGUGAAGAAGUAUUUCGGUACGUAAAGCUCUAUCAGCAAGGAAGAAAAUGACGGUACUUGACUAAGAAGCCCCGGCUAACUACGUGCCAGCAGCCGCGGUAAUACGUAGGGGGCAAGCGUUAUCCGGAUUUACUGGGUGUAAAGGGAGCGUAGACGGUACGGUAAGUCAGAUGUGAAAGCCCGGGGCUCAACCCCGGGACUGCAUUUGAAACUAUCAAACUAGAGUGCAGGAGAGGUAAGUGGAAUUCCUAGUGUAGCGGUGAAAUGCGUAGAUAUUAGGAGGAACACCAGUGGCGAAGGCGGCUUACUGGACUGUAACUGACGUUGAGGCUCGAAAGCGUGGGGAGCAAACAGGAUUAGAUACCCUGGUAGUCCACGCCGUAAGCGAUGAAUACUAGGUGUCGGGGGUUUAUAAACCUUCGGUGCCGCAGCAAACGCAAUAAGUAUUCCACCUGGGGAGUACGUUCGCAAGAAUG
rnacentral:rRNA from 1 species